CAAUUACCAGACUGCAAUGUUAUCCUGAAACAAGGGGUUGCCCCAGGCCAGAAGGGAAAGCUGCAAAGGAGAAUCUGCUGACAUGUCCUCAUGUGAACCAAAGCCCGUCAGUAAGC